CCAANUGGGGAAACCCAGCACGAGUGAUGUCGUGUUACCCGUAUCUGAAUAUAUAGGGUGCGGGAGGUAACGCGGGGAAGUGAAACAUCUCAGUACCCGUAGGAGAAGAAAACAAUUGUGAUUCCGUCAGUAGUGGCGAGCGAACGCGGAACAGGCUAAACCGCAUGCAUGGACAACCGGGUAGGGGUUGUGUGUGCGGGGUUGUGGGAUUGAUAUGUCUCAGCUCUACCUGGCUGAGGGGUAGUCAGAAAGUGGCGUGGUUAGCGGAAGUGGCCUGGGACGGCCCGCCGUAGACGGUGAGAGCCCGGUACGCGAAAACCCGGCACCUGCCUUAUAUCAACACCCGAGUAGCAGCGGGCCCGUGGAAUCUGCUGUGAAUCUGCCGGGACCACCCGGUAAGCCUAAAUACUUCUCGAUGACCGAUAGCGGAUUAGUACCGUGAGGGAAUGGUGAAAAGUACCCCGGGAGGGGAGUGAAAUAGUACCUGAAACCGUGUGCCUACAAUCCGUCAGAGCCUCCUCGUGGGGUGAUGGCGUGCCUUUUGUAGAAUGGACACGUCUNUAGGUUAACUUCGUGCGGGGUAGCCGCAGCGAAAGCGAGUCUGAAUAGGGCGCAUCCCCUUUGGGGUGUAGUGGCGUGUUCUGGACCCGAAGCGGAGUGAUCUACCCAUGGCCAGGGUGAAGCGCGGGUAAGACCGCGUGGAGGCCCGAACCCACUUAGGUUGAAGACUGAGGGGAUGAGCUGUGGGUAGGGGUGAAAGGCCAAUCAAACUCCGUGAUAGCUGGUUCUCCCCGAAAUGCAUUUAGGUGCAGCGUUGCGUGGUUCACCACGGAGGUAGAGCUACUGGAUGGCCGAUGGGCCCUACUAGGUUACUGACGUCAGCCAAACUCCGAAUGCCGUGGGUGUAAAAGCGUGGGCAGUGAGACGGCGGGGGAUAAGCUCCGUUACGUCGAAAGGGGAAACAGCCCAGAUCGCCGGCUAAGGCCCUAAACCGUGUCCUAAGUGGAAAGGAUGUNNUAGUCCAGAGACACCAGGAAGGUUGCUUAAAACCACCNCCCUAAAAAGUGCGUAAUAGCUCACUGGUCAAGUGAUUAUGCGCCGAUAAUGUAGCGGGGCUCAAGCACACCGCCGAAGCCGCGGCACAUUCAUCUUUACGGUGGAUGUGGGUAGGGGAGCGUCCCCCAUUCAGCGAAGCCUCCGGGUGACCGGUGGUGGAGGGUGGGGGAGUGAGAAUGCAGGCAUGAGUAGCGAUAAGGCAAGUGAGAACCUUGCCCGCCGUAAGACCAAGGGUUCCUGGGCCAGGCCAGUCCGCCCAGGGUGAGUCGGGACCUAAGGCGAGGCCGACAGGCGUAGUCGAUGGACAACGGGUUGAUAUUCCCGUACCCGUGUAUGGGCGUCCCUGAUGAAUCAGCGGUACUAACCACCCAAAACCGGAUCGACCAUUCCCCUUCGGGGGCGUGGCGAUUCGGGGCUGCGUGGGACCUUCGCUGGUAGUAGUCAAGCAAUGGGGUGACGCAGGAAGGCAGCCGUACCAGUCAGUGGUAAUACUGGGGCAAGCCCGUAGGGAGAGCGAUAGGCAAAUCCGUCGCUCACUAAUCCUGAGAGGUGAUGCAUAGCCGGUUGAGGCGAAUUCGGUGAUCCUCUGCUGCCAAGAAAAGCCUCUAGCGAGCACAUACACGGGCCGUACCCCAAACCGACACAGGUGGUCAGGUAGAGAAUACCAAGGCGUACGAGAUAACUAUGGUUAAGGAACUCGGCAAAAUGCCCCCGUAACUUCGGGAGAAGGGGGGCCGGAAUACCGUGAACACCCUUGCGGUGGGAGCGGGAUUCGGCCGCAGAAACCAGUGGGUAGCGACUGUUUACUAAAAACACAGGUCCGUGCGAAGUCGCAAGACGAUGUAUACGGACUGACGCCUGCCCGGUGCUGGAAGGUUAAGAGGACCCGUUAACCCGUAAGGGUGAAGCGGAGAAUUUAAGCCCCAGUAAACGGCGGUGGUAACUAUAACCAUCCUAAGGUAGCGAAAUUCCUUGUCGGGUAAGUUCCGACCUGCACGAAUGGCGUAACGACUUCCCAACUGUCUCAACCAUAGACUCGGCGAAAUUGCACUACGAGUAAAGAUGCUCGUUACGCGCGGCAGGACGAAAAGACCCCGGGACCUUCACUACAACUUGGUAUUGGUGUUCGGUACGGUUUGUGUAGGAUAGGUGGGAGACUUUGAAGCACAGACGCCAGUUUGUGUGGAGUCGUUGUUGAAAUACCACUCUGAUCGUAUUGGACACCUAACGUCGAACCCUUAUCGGGUUCACGGACAGUGCCUGGCGGGUAGUUUAACUGGGGCGGUUGCCUCCUAAAAUGUAACGGAGGCGCCCAAAGGUUCCCUCAACCUGGACGGCAAUCAGGUGGCGAGUGUAAGUGCACAAGGGAGCUUGACUGCGAGACUUACAAGUCAAGCAGGGACGAAAGUCGGGACUAGUGAUCCGGCACCCCCGAGUGGAAGGGGUGUCGCUCAACGGAUAAAAGGUACCCCGGGGAWAACAGGCUGAUMUUCCCCAAGAGUCCAUAUCGACGGGAUAGUUUGGCACCUCGAUGUCGGCUC
rnacentral:rRNA from 1 species